AGAGCGAACGCUGGCGGCAGGCCUAACACAUGCAAGUCGAGCGCCCGUAGCAAUACGGGAGCGGCAGACGGGAUAGUAACACGUGGGAACGCGCCCUUCGGUUCGGAAUAACUCAGGGAAACUUGUGCUAAUACCGGAUAAGCCCUUACGGGGAAAGAUUUAUCGCCAAAGGAUCGGCCCGCGUCUGAUUAGCUUGUUGGUGAGGUAACGGCUCACCAAGGCUACGAUCAGUAGCUGGUCUGAGAGGAUGAUCAGCCUCACUGGGACUGAGACACGGCCCAGACUCCUACGGGAGGCAGCAGUGGGGAAUAUUGGACAAUGGGCGCAAGCCUGAUCCAGCCAUGCCGCGUGGAUGAUGAAGGCCUUAGGGUUGUAAAGUCCUUUUAACGGGGAAGAUAAUGACGGUACCGUAGAAUAAGCCCGGCUAACUUCGUGCCAGCAGCCGC
rnacentral:rRNA from 1 species